GUGGGGAAUAUUGGACAAUGGGCGCAAGCCUGAUCCAGCCAUGCCGCGUGAGUGAUGAAGGCCCUAGGGUUGUAAAGCUCUUUCACCGGUGAAGAUAAUGACGGUAACCGGAGAAGAAGCCCCGGCUAACUUCGUGCCAGCAGCCGCGGUAAUACGAAGGGGGCUAGCGUUGUUCGGAAUUACUGGGCGUAAAGCGCACGUAGGCGGGUAUUUAAGUCAGGGGUGAAAUCCCGGAGCUCAACUCCGGAACUGCCUUUGAUACUGGGUACCUAGAGUAUGGAAGAGGUAAGUGGAAUUCCGAGUGUAGAGGUGAAAUUCGUAGAUAUUCGGAGGAACACCAGUGGCGAAGGCGGCUCACUGGCUCGAUACUGACGCUGAGGUGCGAAAGCGUGGGGAGCAAACAGGAUUAGAUACCCUAGUAGUCC
rnacentral:rRNA from 1 species